CUCUAGCCUGAACAUUCCUUUUUAUGGAUCCCAGGUCUUUAGAUAACCUCAACCAGAUAACGUUUACAUUUACCGAUUGAGUUGCCCCGCCUUUCUAAACUAAACCAAUGUAUUUCUUAAAUGUAUUUGAUGUCUCACGCCUUCCUAAAAUAGAUAAAACCAAGCUGUACCCCAAUUUCCUUGGGCACAUGUUCUCAGGACCUCCUGAGGACUGUCACUGGCCAUGGUCACUUGAAUCUGGCUCAAAAUAAAUCUCUUCAAAUAUUUUUCAGAGUUUGAUUCUUUUCAUCAACCCAUAUCUAUACCUUUUUACACCAAAAACAUGUCUUUGCAAAAUUACAGUUAUUGGGAAUAAGGCUUUUAACCUAAUCUGGGGACUAUCAAAUAUACUAAUAAAUAUUUUUCUUAAAAAAAUUCUUUGUUUAAACUGCCAGAUUCCAACUUCCAGAAAAAUUCCAACAGAAAUGCAACCGAGGGUCUAGAAUUACUAUCCUAAAUCUCCGAAAAUGUACAGGGGGUGGCGGGCGGGGCAGGGACGGCUCUAGGUGAGCAGGAAAAAGCUUGGAACUCAGUCUUCCAAUGGCGAAAGGGAACGUGCUCCUGCUGGGCGGGACGGCGGACGGCUGGCGGCGGCGCGGCCUCCAAUUCUCGCCAACGCGCCCCGCACCCCCGUGCACUGGCGGGCCCUCCCCUCGGGCGUUGCCUCCCACCCACGCCCGGCGGCACCGCACCCCGAGGCGCUUCACGUCACGGAGCUGCUAGGAGACGGGCGGGGCUCCGGUUCCGGACGGAAUCUCACUCUGUCACCCAGGCUGGAGUGCAGUGGCACAAUCUCAGCUCACUGCAACCUCGACCUCCCAGGUACAAGCAAUUCUCCUGCCUCAGCCUCCCAAGUAGCUGGGAUUACAGAUGGAGUUUUGCUCUUGUCGCCCCGGCUGGAGUGCAGUGGUGCGACCUCAGCGAUCUCAGCGAUCUCAGCGAUCUCAGCUCACUACAACCUCUGCCUCUUGGAUUCAAGCAGUUCUCCUGCCUCAACCACCUGAGUAGCUGGGAUUACAGGCGCCUGCCACCACGCCUGGCUAAUUUUUGUAUUUUUAGUAGAGAUGGGGUUUCACCAGGUUGGUCAGUCUGGUCUCGAACUCCUGACCUCAGGUGAUCCACCCACCUCGGCCUCCCAAAGUGCUGGGAUUACAGGCGUGAGCCACCAUGCCCAGCCUACACUUGGGCUUCUUAGGCACAAGAUCCAGUAAGCCCUCCCUCCUCCUCCCCACCCCUUUUUUCUUUACACUAGUGUUUUCUGUAAUCCUGCAACAGAAAGAGUCCUAACUGAUAUAUUUGUGACCAUUUCUAAAAUCUCCAAAAUGUAAAAUUAUACAAUUAAGAAUUAAAAUAAUUUUUUAAAACCAA
rnacentral:lncRNA from 10 species